rnacentral:misc_RNA from 1 species
GGAAGUAAAAGUUGUAACAAGGUCUCCGUUGGUGAACCAGCGGAGGGAUCAUUACCGAGUUAUCAACUCACAAACCCCUGUGAACAUACCCAACGUUGCUUCGGCGGGACCGCCCCGGCGCCCUCGGCGUCCCGAAACCAGGCGCCCGCCGGAGGACCCAAACUCUUGUUUAAACCAUAGUGGCAUAUUCUGAGUCUCACAAGAAAGAUGAAUCAAAACUUUCAACAACGGAUCUCUUGGCUCUG